rnacentral:lncRNA from 1 species
AUAUCAAUUAUAUCAUGAGAUUAUGAGACACUUAUAUAUUUAACUAAACAACAAACUAAGGAAAGUAAGACAAUGGAGAAUUAGAGCUCCAAGUAGUAGAUUAUUGUGAAGGAAACUCAAGGUAGUGAGGGAAAAUAAUUGAAUCUUGAAUAGAGAAACAAUAUUGAGUUAGAUGUCAAGAUAAAUUUUCUCUUACCAUAUGUGCUCUUAAAGAAUUGGUGAGCUGGUCAGCAAGUACUUACUGAAUUCCUGUAGGAUUGGCGAGCAUGUUAGGGAAUACGGACAUGUCAUUGAAGAUUUUGAAACUGGAAACAAAUAAAACCUCACAAAAAAGCACAGGAAAGGAUAAUCCUUAAAAGAAUCAAACAGGCAGAGAGUUUCAUAGAUGUCCUUCUAGUCUCUCUCGUUCUGUGACUGUAUAUUUUGGCAAAAUAUAAUGAGUUUGCCUGCCUUCAGACGGGACAAAAAGAAAAGACCUAAAGUUCCUUGUGAAUACCAAAGCUCAUGGCCAAGGCCGGAGAGACACUGAUUAGGGAAACGAGACUUGAAAAUGAGAAAAAGAAGAAUCACAGGUGACAGAUGUACUGAGAGAAAAAUAGAAUGGCUUAAACUUUGGACAAAUGAUCAUGAAAAAGGGAGAGAAAUAAGACAUCUGCAAAGACCAAAAAUAAAAUCAAGUUCACAAUGAGGAAAUCAAGGGAGGAAGUGUCAUAAGACAAAAUGAUAGUCAUUCUCCGUCGUCAAAUACCAGUUCAGAACCAUUUUAGAGAAGAAAUUUAUGUGGCUCUAGAGCAUGGCGCUAUAUGCUUCUGAUGGUUUGGUAUUAGUUCUUCCUAGGGAACUAUGACCACCUUUAUGGGCCUCUGUUGCUCUCAAGGUAGGAAAACUUACCACUUGUGUACCCUUGGGUCUUUGAAGGGUUGGUGGAGAAAGCUUUAUGCUUGAUGUUUGAACAUCCAACAAAGAAAAUUAAAUUCCUCCCAUGAAACUAAAAGGAGAGUCAAAUUGAUUUUAGGAAUUUUCUAAAUAAAUUCAUCCGUUAUGUAUUUCUAAAUAAUUUGAUGUGCUUACGAAUACAAGUGAAUCAAGCUGAGGAGAAUAACGAAGCGCCUACAGAAUAGUCAUGGAGUCCAGGAUUAGUUCUAGACAUGCUGAAAAAGUAAGGAAUAUUAAUUACCUCCUCAUACUCUGUCCCUUUCUUUCUCCUUGGUGAGUGCUAUAAGCCAAAUGUUUGUGUCCCUCAUCCCCUCCCACCCACCAAUUCAGAUGUUGAAACCCAGUCCCCAGUGUGCUGAUACUGGGAGGUAAGCCCUCACAGAGAUGAUUGGUCUUGAGGAUGGAUCUGUCAUGAAUGGGGUUAUGAAUGGUCUUGCAUUAAUGUCGAUGGCUGCUGACUGCUCAUAGUGGUGGUUGCUGAAUGUGGGGGUGGCUGUGGUUCUCACCUACAAUUGCAUGCAGAAUUCCUCAGGGUUUCCAAUCCCUUGAAUCUGAUUCACAAGCUUGUGUUGGAAUCCCUGAGAAGGUGAACACACACACCUUGAGGGGGCAGAACCCAGACCAAAAGGAAGUAGCCAUGUCUGUGUGACUACUUGAUUUUUCUUUUAUGCCCUUGAGAUCAGAUUCUUUGUUUCCAAUGGAAAAAUUGGAACAUAUGCAACAAUACCAGAGAAUAUUUAUGUCACUUCCUAGUGCAGAAUAGGCUGAUGAAAUAACACCUGAUUUACUUUCUGAGGCAACUGUCUGUGUAAUUAAAACAGUUACAACACAAAUUGAGAAUCACAAGGCCUCAAUUCCAAAUCAGAGUUAGUGGAAAUUGGGGCACCUUAAACUGAUAGUUUCCAUAGGGAGGGUGAGUAAAGCUAUGGCAUUGAUGCAGUAAUUAUUGGAUAAGCUCAAGGAAGACUAUGGAAAGAAAUCAGAAAUGGGUUAGUAGGAACCUGCUUUCCCAUGGACAUUGGCAUAAGCAAGGAAAAGACCUUUGUGAGGACAAUACUGUUUAAAUUUUCCCAGACUGGGGUCAAAUCUGAGCUACAGCUGCUGGCCUUCCCCACAGCCACAGCAACUCAGGAUCCAAGCCACAUCUGUGACCUAUACCACAGCUCACGGCAACACCUGAUCCCCUACCCACUGAGCAAGGCCAGUGAUCGAACACUCAUCCUCAUGGAUACUAGUCGGCUUUGUUUCUGCUGCUGCCAUAAUGGGAAUUCCAAUACUGUUAACUUUCUAAACAUUGUCUGGUUUAUAUUUCCUUUUAUAUGAUGUCACUGUCCUUACUAAUUUUGUCUUGAUUAGGAGACUUUUAUUUUUAGCAUCAAUUUUAUAAAUUCUGCCUUUUUAUUGGUAUUUUCUAUUUGAUAAAACAUUGUCUUUAUAUCAGGCUUGACUUCUAAAGCGUGAUUUACUUUAGUUUUUGAAUGUAUUUCUUUAUGGCUAUUUUGAAGUCUUUGUUAAAUCUGACGUCUGGCCCUUCUCAGACAGAGACAGUUUCUUUUGCUUGCUUUUUUGCCUGAGUAUGUGUCAAACAUUCCUAUUCAUUUGCACUUCUCAUGCUGUUGUGGCUGAUGUUGAAAGCUGAACAUUUUUGGUAAUAUAACAACUCUAGACACUGAUUCCCUUCCCUGCCCUCCGGGCUUGUUGUUAUUUGCUUGUUUAUUUGUUUUGUGACUUAGCUAAGAUAUUUUUGUGACGUCUACUUCUACAGUGUGGAGCGGUGUGAAACCUCAGAGGAUACAUGAAUAGGUCCAUAAACCUUCUCACACUGUCACCCUGGAAAUGGAACUCCAUAUGGUAUGUCGACUAUGAACAUUUUUCUUGCGUUUAUCGCCAAUCCUUUUAAAAAAUAGAAAUAUCAGAGUUUAGUAUUCUAAUUUUUUCUUUCAGUGUCUUAAACAUGUUUUGGUUUUUUUUAAGUAGCGUUAUUUUUUGUUAAGGUCAUGAUUUUUAAUGGCUGCUUUGCUGUUUUACUCUAUGUUGUUACAACCAAUUCUCUAGGGAGACCCUUAGCCAUUCUUGCUGCUACAGUUUUCUGUCCUCUGUUCUCUGCAGUCUUAUGCUUUAUCAGCAGAAUUUUCAUUCUAAAGCAGAGAUAUGAUCUUUAUUAGGAUUCUGUUGUAUAUAAGAGAAAUACUAGAUAUGGGGGUACAUGGCUUAAGCUCCUCACCCCCAAGGUUCUGGUCCUAAGUGUGGGAUGAUGUUCCUAAUUGUAAGAACCUUCAGCUUCCUACCCCAGCAACUCCUUGAGGCUUUCCCACUAAUGCAAAUCCUUAAUUUUCUAUCUACAUGGGCACCUGCCUACCCCUGUGAUACCUCGAAUAUGCUUGCUUCUUUGUUGUACUUUUGCACUAUGCCAUUGUAAAUUCCUGUCUCUCUUCUGUUAGAAAAUUAACAGACUUUUCCCUGGGGCUUACAGCCAGAAAUUCUUCUCUCUCUCCCAUACUGGAGUAGCUCUUUGUGAUGAGUCUUUUCUAGGGAGAUUUGUACUCUGUUAUAAUGAUCACUUUAUAUGACUGUGUUCAUUUAGUAAUUACUUUAGGUGUCUGGUUAUUCUCUCCUAUUGUCUUCCUCCUUCUUUUUAUUUGUUAAAAGACCUCCUCUGUGCCCAGCAUGUCGAUGUGGAAGUGCUGGUGUUAUUUUCACACUAUUAGAAUUAACAGUAUAAUUAAGAGAAUAGGACCUACAUUAAUUUUCUUCCCGGGGUUGUCUUUGUGGUUUUUCACAUAUAACAUCCUUUGUUUCUCAUUAAAUAAAACAUUUAGAAUGUUUUAGUCCUCAUAAAAGACCUUGGUUGUUACUGGCAAUUUAAUUUUUUUUAAAAAAUAAAAACAAUGUGUGGGUGGUAUAGAGAGUAUCAGGCAGUGAUGGCCCUCUUUAUACAAUAGCAAGAAGCAGUAUUGUGAGACCUGAUUGUUUGGGUGUAGAUGUGGCACCCAAAAAUUUGGAAAUGGUUUUAUUCUAUAGGCAAAAGGAGGAAAAAAAACCUUUAGAGAUAACAGAAUUUAACAGGUAACUCUGUGCUCAUUAAAUAACUACAGGUAGGAUGAUAACCCAUGAGCUUACAGAUCAAAAUUUGAGUCAGGCUGGAACUCUGCCCUCUUUGGGAUCAGCUCAUAGACUAUUUCAAGUAUGCUGCGUUUUUGAUGUUGGUGGAGAGGGAAGGUGUAUCAAGAAGGAGCUAAUUAAAUACUUUGUUACUGCUCUGUUUUGUGAAAAUGAGAUAAAGUCUCUCCAGGAACUUUUUUCUUUAUUAACUUGACCUUAAAUUACUUUUUCUCUGACUCUACCCAGGACAUCUUAAAAGCCUAUGCCGCUUUCUCCGUAUAAAAUCUAUAUCCCAAAAUAGUGCAGACACUCAAGACAGAAGUGUCUUAUGUUUGCUUUUUGGGUGGAAGGUUUUCAAGUACCACAAGCUUUACUAACAAUCUGAUAUCCAGUACCUUAGGUACAGUUAUUGAAGCAUAAAGAAGAUAACACACUUUAAAAAUGCCCAGAGAUGUAUUAAUCUGCUUGGCUGCUUUAACAAAAAACAAUUUAGACCAGGUAGCUUAAAGCACAUUUAUUUUUUCAUAAUUCUAGAGGCUAAAAGUCUAGGAUCAAGGUCCUGGCAUAUUCAGUUCCUGGUGAGAACCUUCCUCCUGGCUUGCAGAUGGCCACCUUCUUGCUCUAGUCUUUUCUUACAAGGACACUAAAUCCCGUGAUGGGGCCCCACCCUUCUGACCUCAUCUAAACUUAUAUACCUCCUAAAGGUCCAUCUCAAAUAGAAUCACUUGGAGUUGAGGACUUCAACAUAUGAAUUUGGGGAGUACAUAAACGUUCAGUACAUAACAGGUGACCUCUCACAUUUAUCACUGGAUCUUAAGAUAAUCAUAAAGUCCACCUCCCUGGCUCCUAAAGGCAUAUAUGCUCCUGCACACUGGAGGAGGGUUAACCUCACCGAGAAUCAGAGUUCAGUAGCCCUAAGAGAAAACGUAGCAUGCAGGAGUCUCUCUCUCUCUCUCUCUCUGGCUUUUUUUGGUAUAUAAACAACAUACCAUGCUAAUUAUUUAAUUUCAAGUGUACAAUUCAACAGAGGAAUCUCUUUGUGAGUGUUGUGGAGGGGCUGUUCUUAAAUGACGCAAAGAUGCGAUAAAGGAGAAUGUUUGAGAAUCUCCCUCAUGAAGAGAGUUAAGGAGUUCCCCUCACGGCUUAGUGGUCACAAAUCUGACUAGUAUCCAUGAGGACGUGGGUUCGAUCCCUGGCCUCGCUCAGUGGGUUAAGGAUCUGGCAUUGCUGUGAACUCUGGUAUUGGUCGCAUACAUGGCUCGGAUCCUGCGUUGCUGUGGUGUAGGCCAGCAGCUGCAGCUCUGAUUCCACCCCUAGCCUGGGGAAUUCCAUAUGCCAUGGGUGUGGCCCUUAAAAAAAAAAAAAAAAAAAGAGUUGAUUAGUGACAAGGACACAUCUAGCUCAGAAACAGUAAUAUUUCUGCUGUGAACUAUAGACCUAGUCUAUUUUGUGAGAAAUGCUUCAUAGAUAAUUCCAAAUGAAUGUUGGCUCUUAUUCUUCAUUGGUUUAAAUACAGGUCUUAAAUAUAGCAUGUUUUUACUGCCUUGGAUGGUCUCUUGUAUUCCAUUCAUUUCAUAAUGAUUUUUAUUUUUUUUCCAUUAUAGCUGAUUUACAGUGUUCUGUCCUUUCAUUUCGAAAUGAGGUUAUUUGCUUUUUUUUUUCCCCUUCAAAUCUUUAAAUGAGGUUAUUUGUGAUAGAACAGAACAGGGGAUGAUUUCACUGUGGGUCAAGCAUUUGGCAAGGGCACAGGUAAGGGCUAUAAAAGAAAGGGAGCAUCUUGGGGAAGGUAGAGUGGUAGCAUUGGCUAGCUCCACACCCACUAAGUCUUUGGACUUAGUUUUUAUAAUAUAAAGUCUAAGUCUAAGUCUUUGGACUUAGUUUUUAUAAUAUAAAGUCUAUUUCUGUUGUCUGUCUUGUCAAGGCUGCCGGGUGGGGAUGGUGACUUCUCUGUACUCUGCGUGCUCUUACUACCUGUUGCCUCUGUACACAGACAGGCAGCUGCAAUAACAAGGAGUAAUAAAUCAGGUGCUGAGCUUAUGGCAGGAGUUACAAAUUAUUCAAGACUUUGACGUGGGAGCUUGGACUAAGAAUACCCAGGUAAUGCUGCAAUCAAUCACAGAGUAGAAAAAAAGUGCCUCUGUCUGCCGAGAGAAAUCAGAGAAGGCUGUCUCAGAACCUUGUCAAGUGACCUUGUAGUCGGUGACAGCAGCAAAGGGGCCUGUUCUUGAAAAUCAUCAGGACAGUAUUCUGGCUGCCUCUCCUAAUGGAAAUGUUGAGUGUGUCACCUGGACUUUCCCCCCUUUCUCUCAGAAACUAUUGUGAUAAAAUUACCUUGGAAGAACAUUGGAUGUUUAUUUUUGAAGCCAGUCAUCUCUUGUUCAAAAGUAACUGAAUAUCAAUAAAGAAAGAAAGAAAGGAAAGAAAGAAAAAGGGAGUUCCCUUCAUGGCUCAGUGGUUAACAAACCUGACUCCUGACUAGGAUCCAUGAGAAUGAGGGUUCAAUCCCUGGCCUUGCUCAGUGGGUUAAGGAUCGGGCAUUGCCAUGAGCUGUGGUGUGAGUUGCAGACACAGCUCAGAUCCUGUAUUGCUGUAGCUCUGGUGUAGGCUGGCUCUGAAUCAACCCCUAGCCUGGGAACUUCCAUAUGCUGAGAAGGUG